CCUACGGGGCGCAGCAGUGAGGAAUAUUGGUCAAUGGACGAGAGUCUGAACCAGCCAAGUAGCGUGAAGGAUGACUGCCCUAUGGGUUGUAAACUUCUUUUAUAUGGGAAUAAAAUGUUCCACGUGUGGGAUUUUGUAUGUACCAUAUGAAUAAGGAUCGGCUAACUCCGUGCCAGCAGCCGCGGUAAUACGGAGGAUCCGAGCGUUAUCCGGAUUUAUUGGGUUUAAAGGGAGCGUAGGUGGAUUGUUAAGUCAGUUGUGAAAGUUUGCGGCUCAACCGGAAAAGUGCAGUUGAAACUGGCAGUCUUGAGUACAGUAGAGGUGGGCGGAAUUCGUGGUGUAGCGGUGAAAUGCUUAGAUAUCACGAAGAACUCCGAUUGCGAAGGCAGUUCACUGGACUGCAACUGACACUGAGGCUCGAAAGUGUGGGUAUCAAACAGGAUUAGAUACCCCGGUAGUC
rnacentral:rRNA from 1 species